CAUUAGUAACAAAAUGUCUGGAACAUUCUCCUUUUCUGUACUUACAGCUCUACAGUUUUCUACCUGACAAUGUGGAAAUGGAAAUAUUCUUUCUGAUUGUCACAAGUUCUGCAUAUGGUUUUACAGUGGUGUUCAUUUUUUGGUUUCUUCAACCGAUUUUUUUAGAGAUAUACAUAUUUUUGGAAAGUGUUAUUCCCAGCAAGUAUGACUAUCUACGUGACAAAGUCCCUGAUGUGCUUAUUUUCAUUCUUAAAAGAACACUCUACCUUCUGUUACUGAUCAUCCUUUCAGAAAAGGAUAAAGAACACCCGGCAUUGGUGUCUUUCAUUGUAUUCCUCUACAUCCUGAUGCCAAUACAGGAAUUUAACCACAGGAGUAAUUUCCCUGCUGUUCUUCAUAUCCUAGUAUAUGCGUUUGGUUCUGCUAUCCUAAGUGUCCUUAAUUCAGCUGCUCUAGCAGCAGAAGUCAUUCUGAAAGCA